rnacentral:rRNA from 1 species
GGGAUAAGGGGUGCCACCAUCAGGUGGCCGCAGAGAAUAGGCCCAAGCGACUGUUUACCAAAAACAUAGGUUUCUGCUAAGUCGCAAGACGAUGUAUAGGAGCUGACGCCUGCCCGGUGCUGGAAGGUUAAGGGGAUCUGUUAGAGCAAUCGAAGCAGUGAACUUAAGCCCCAGUAAACGGCGGCCGUAACUAUAACGGUCCUAAGGUAGCGAAAUUCCUUGUCGGGUAAGUUCCGACCCGCACGAAAGGCGUAACGAUUUGGGCACUGUCUCAACAACAGACUCGGUGAAAUUGUAAUUCCGGUGAAGAUGCCGGAUACCUGCGACAGGACGGAAAGACCCCAUGGAGCUUUACUGUAGCUUGACAUUGGGUCUUGGUACUACAUGUACAGGAUAGGUGGGAGGCUUUGAAACCAGGACGCCAGUUUUGGCGGAGCCAUCCUUGGGAUACCACCCUUGUAGUACUGGGACUCUAACCAUAGGCCAUGAAUCUGGUCUUGGGACACUGUCAGGUGGGCAGUUUGACUGGGGCGGUCGCCUCCCAAAAGGUAACGGAGGCGCUCAAAGGUUCUCUCAGUACGGUCGGAAAUCGUACGUAGAGUGUAAAGGCAAAAGAGAGCUUGAUUGCAAGACAUACAGGUCGAGCAAGGAUGAAAAUCGGACUUAGUGAUCCGGUG